rnacentral:rRNA from 1 species
GAUGAACGCUGGCGGCGUGCCUAAUACAUGCAAGUCGAGCGAACGGACGAGAAGCUUGCUUCUCUGAUGUUAGCGGCGGACGGGUGAGUAACACGUGGAUAACCUACCUAUAAGACUGGGAUAACUUCGGGAAACCGUAGCUAAUACCGGAUAAUAUUUUGAACCGCAUGGUUCAAAAGUGAAAGACGGUCUUGCUGUCACUUAUAGAUGGAUCCGCGCUGCAUUAGCUAGUUGGUAAGGUAACGGCUUACCAAGGCAACGAUGCAUAGCCGACCUGAGAGGGUGAUCGGCCACACUGGAACUGAGACACGGUCCAGACUCCUACGGGAGGCAGCAGUAGGGAAUCUUCCGCAAUGGGCGAAAGCCUGACGGAGCAACGCCGCGUGAGUGAUGAAGGUCUUCGGAUCGUAAAACUCUGUUAUUAGGGAAGAACAUAUGUUUAAGUAACUGUGCACAUCUUGACGGUACCUAAUCAGAAAGCCACGGCUAACUACGUG